ensembl:snRNA U6 U6 spliceosomal RNA
GUGCUCGCUUCAGCAGCACAUAUCCUAAAAUUGGAACGAUACAGAGAAGAUUAGCAUGGCCCCCUGCACAAGGAUGACAUGCAAAUUCAUGAAGCAUUCCAUAUUAAA